rnacentral:rRNA from 1 species
UACAGAGGUCUCAAGCGUUGUUCGGAUUCAUUGGGCGUAAAGAGCGUGUAGGCGGCUAGGUAGGUCCGUUGUGAAAACUCGAGGCUCAACCUCGAGACGCCGAUGGAAACCAUCUGGCUAGAGUCCGGAAGAGGAGAGUGGAAUUCCUGGUGUAGCGGUGAAAUGCGCAGAUAUCAGGAAGAACACCCGUGGCUAAGGCGGCUCUCUAGUACGGUACUGACGCUGAGACGCGAAAGCGUGGGGAGCGAACAGG